AACUUAUCAAGAGAGACUGAGGGAUUAGGCCCUAUGACGUCCGGCAACCUCCUUUUUGGGAAAGGUGCCACUUCCUACAGAAUGAUUUCAUUCUGAAAGAUAAGUC
rnacentral:ncRNA from 2 species